rnacentral:rRNA from 1 species
AGUGAACGCUGGCGGUAGGCCUAACACAUGCAAGUCGAACGGCAGCACAGAGGAGCUUGCUCCUUGGGUGGCGAGUGGCGGACGGGUGAGGAAUACAUCGGAAUCUACUCUGUCGUGGGGGAUAACGUAGGGAAACUUACGCUAAUACCGCAUACGACCUACGGGUGAAAGCAGGGGACCUUCGGGCCUUGCGCGAUUGAAUGAGCCGAUGUCGGAUUAGCUAGUUGGCGGGGUAAAGGCCCACCAAGGCGACGAUCCGUCGCUGGUCUGAGGGGAUGAUCAGCCACACUGGAACGUGGACACGUGCCCGCCUCCUACGGGAGGCAGCAGUGGGAAUAUUGGACAAUGGGCGCAAGCCUGAUCCAGCCAUACCGCGUGGGUGAAGAAGGCCUUCGGGUUGUAAAGACCUUUUGUUGGGAAAGAAAUCCAGCUGGCUAAUACCCGGUUGGGAUGACGGUACCCAAAGAAUAAGCACCGGCUAACUUCGUGCCAGCCGCCGCGGUAA